rnacentral:lncRNA from 1 species
UAAAAUGUAUUGAUAUUUUAAAGGAAAUAUUUCAUAUACCACUCAAUAUAAUUGAUGUCCAAUGCAAGGAUAUCUCACCCUUUGUCUCUUGAGUAGACAUUACACAUCUUCUUUUUGACCAGAUAGUCCAUUACUAUAAUAUUUAUAUAUGUCUUCGACUUUUGUCUCUUGAAAACAUGUGUUUUGCUUGUUCAACCUCAACCUAAUCAUAAAAAGAAACAUUAAGAAAAGCUUCAACCUAAUCAAUCACUACCAUAAUUAGCCAGAAUUGAAAACAAGCAUACGUUUGAAACAAUGAUCUAAUAACCUCCUAAUCAAUAUUUCCUUAAGAUGAAGCAACAUACAAAAGAAGAACAAGGAAAAUGUCGAAUUUGACCCACUUAGAGACUUAAAUAAUGUAAUAAUGAAACACAAAAGAACAGACAUCUUUGAUACUUUAGUAUCAUACGUUUGCAAAUAAAAGAGACAACACAUGGCAUCGUCCUUCUUAAUUUCAAUUUAACCCUUCUAUCAUUUGUUAUUUAUCACUUUCAAAGACACAGAAAUUGUAUUAUUUAUCGAAUAUAUAGAUAUUAAACUGCGAUAUUUUGGAAGAAAAUGCAUGGCGCAUUAAUUGUAACACCAAAAGUGGAGAUAUUUUUGAAUAUUCAUGGAUAUAAAAAAGCCAAUAAGGAAAAGGAUUAAAGCAUGUAAAAUAUAUUUUCCUAUUAUAUAUAAAACUCCAGAAACCCCAUUGGCCAAAAUGCAGAUUCAAGAGGCACUGUUAUUAUUUCAAGCGUUUGGAGUAUGAAACAAUUAUCACGCAAACAAAAUGACAGUGUAAAAAUAUUUCACAAAAUUCGUACUUGUAGUUUAAUUGUUUAUAACAACUUGCUUGCCCCUUCUAAAAAUAAAAUUUAAGUUUGUAUCUCGAUGGUUUUACAAGAAAUGGACAAUAUAUAUUUUGACCAAUCUCAUUAGAUUACUCAUGUUGUUUUUCAGGUCAUUAAGCCAUGUUUAUAUUGUAAAGGCACAUUAUAAUACAAUUAUAAUUGACUUUUUAAAAGAUUUAAUUGUGUUCAUACAUUUUACGUGUAUAUAUAGCGUUUUACUUAAAAAUUGUUUUUUUAAGUUAUUUGUAAAAAUACUUUCUACAUUCAUGCAUAAACCUAGGUGUUAGGAUCGGAAACCCGGAAAGUACGAAAUUUAGCCAAACAACGGUAUAAUGACAAUAACAAAGACAAUGGAAGUUGAUAAUAACGGCAAUUAAAGAAGAUAAAGAAGACACAAAUUUAACGUGGUUCGGUCAAGGUGACCUACGUCCACAAGCGGAGAGAAGCAAUUUCACUAUACCAACAAGAGUACAAAAGAGAGUACAAAAUUAGAGUAAAUACUCUAAUUAAUCCCAAAUACCCCUAGAGAAUAACCUCACAAGAUCACUCCAAAGAAAGGGUUCACACAAGUGUUUCCCAACACUCACUCUCUUAUAAAAUACUCUAUAAUGAAAUAAAU